CACGUAGUUAGCCGGCGCUUCUUCUGCAGGUACCGUCACUUGCGCUUCUUCCCUGCUGAAAGAGGUUUAUAACCCGAAGGCCUUCAUCCCUCACGCGGCGUCGCUGCAUCAGGCUUUCGCCCAUUGUGCAAUAUUCCCCACUGCUGCCUCCCGUAGGAGUCUGGGCCGUGUCUCAGUCCCAGUGUGGCCGGUCGCCCUCUCAGGCCGGCUACCCGUCGUCGCCUUGGUAGGCCAUCACCCCACCAACAAGCUGAUAGGCCGCGAGCCCAUCCCUGACCGAAAAACUUUCCAACCACCCCCAUGCGAGGACGGCUCAUAUCCGGUAUUAGCCCCGGUUUCCCGGAGUUAUCCCGAAGUCAAGGGCAGGUUACUCACGUGUUACUCACCCGUUCGCCACUAAUCCGCCCAGCAAGCUGGGCAUCAUCGUUCGACUUGCAUGUGUUAAGCACGCCGCCAGCGUCGUCCUGAGCCAGGAUACAAACUCU
rnacentral:rRNA from 1 species